GAUGAACGCUAGCUGCGGGCCUAAUACAUGCAAGUCGCGCGGCCACACGAGGGGCUUUCUCCUCUGACGUUAGCGACGGACGGGUGAGUAACUCAUGGAUAACCUACCUAUAAUUCUCGGCUGACUUCGGGAACCCAGAGCUAAUACCGGCUAAUAUAUUGAAACUGAUGGUUCCAUAGUGAAAGACGGUUUUGCUGUCACUUAUAGAUGGGUCCGCGCCGCUUUAGAUAGUUGGUAAGGUAACGGCUUACCAAGGCGCCGAUGCGUAGCCGACCUGAGAGGGGGAGCAGCCACACUGGAACUGAGAUGCGGUCCAGACUACUACGGGAGGCAGCAGAAGGGAAACUUCCGCAAUGCGCGAAAGGCUGACGGAGCAACGCCGAGUGGGGGAUGAAGUUCUUCGGAUCGUAAAACUCUGCUACUAGUGAAGAACAAAUGUGUAAGUAACUAGGCACGUCUUGACGGUACCGAAUCAGAAAGCAACGGCUAACUACGUG
rnacentral:rRNA from 1 species